AACGAACGCUGGCGGCAUGCCUAACACAUGCAAGUCGAACGAGACCUUCGGGUCUAGUGGCGCACGGGUGCGUAACGCGUGGGAACCUGCCCUUAGGUUCGGAAUAACUCCCCGAAAGGGGUGCUAAUACCGGAUAAUGUCUUCGGACCAAAGAUUUAUCGCCUUUGGAUGGGCCCGGGUUGGAUUGGCUGGUUGGUAGGGUAAAAGCCUACCAAGGCGACGAUCCAUAGCUGGUCUGAGAGGAUGAUCAGCCACACUGGGACUGAGACACGGCCCAGACUCCUACGGGAGGCAGCAGUGGGGAAUAUUGGACAAUGGGCGAAAGCCUGAUCCAGCAAUGCCGCGUGAGUGAUGAAGGCCUUAGGGUUGUAAAGCUCUUUUACCCGGGAUGAUAAUGACAGUACCGGGAGAAUAAGCUCCGGCUAACUCCGUG
rnacentral:rRNA from 1 species